rnacentral:rRNA from 1 species
UGGGGAAUAUUGCACAAUGGGCGCAAGCCUGAUGCAGCCAUGCCGCGUGUGUGAAGAAGGCCUUCGGGUUGUAAAGCACUUUCAGCGAGGAGGAAGGUGGUGAACUUAAUACGUUCAUCAAUUGACGUUACUCGCAGAAGAAGCACCGGCUAACUCCGUGCCAGCAGCCGCGGUAAUACGGAGGGUGCAAGCGUUAAUCGGAAUUACUGGGCGUAAAGCGCACGCAGGCGGUUUGUUAAGUCAGAUGUGAAAUCCCCGGGCUCAACCUGGGAACUGCAUUUGAAACUGGCAAGCUAGAGUCUCGUAGAGGGGGGUAGAAUUCCAGGUGUAGCGGUGAAAUGCGUAGAGAUCUGGAGGAAUACCGGUGGCGAAGGCGGCCCCCCUGGACGAAGACUGACGCUCAGGUGCGAAAGCGUGGGGCAGCAAACAGGAUUAGAUACCCUGGUAGGUCCGCGCUGUAAAACGAUGUCGAUUUGGAGGUUGUGCCCCUUGAGGCGUGGCUUCCGGAGCUAACGCGUUAAAUCGACCGCCUGGGGAGUACGGCCNCAAGGUU